UACGUAGGGUGCAAGCGUUAUCCGGAAUUAUUGGGCGUAAAGAGCUCGUAGGCGGUUUGUCGCGUCUGCUGUGAAAACUGGAGGCUCAACCUCCAGCCUGCAGUGGGUACGGGCAAACUAGAGUGCGGUAGGGGAGAUUGGAAUUCCUGGUGUAGCGGUGAAAUGCGCAGAUAUCAGGAGGAACACCGGUGGCGAAGGCGGGUCUCUGGGCAGUAUCUCGCUGAGGAGCGAAAGCUGGGGAGCGAACAGG
rnacentral:rRNA from 1 species